GCGUAGCCUAGUGGGCAUGGCAUCUGCCCGGAAGCAGAACGCUGUGGGUUCGAUUCCCAUCCAUAGACA
rnacentral:tRNA from 1 species